UUUAUUUUCUCGUGGAUUUUGGCUCACUGGAUUUCUCCACUCCAGUAUUGUUGAGACUACCAUUCCCUUGCAGCUCAACAUCCUUGGCUUCUUCCUGCCCAUUAGUUUUUCUGCACUUUGUUUCUUCAACUGCUACUUCCUCAACAGAAUGUUUUCCAUCUUCAUCAUGAGUCAAUCUUUUCCUUUUCUUGGAAGCCAUCUUAUAUUCAUUAGCACCAUCGUCCACAGUCUCUACUGAUUUCUUCUUAGAUUUGUUAGUUAUUACAUUUUUUCUGUGCCACUAACAACUUUAUCAGCAUCCACUUUACUUUUAUUUUUCAAGCUACCCUCCUCACCAUCUUCAAGAAGACCAUCUUUCUUCAGCUUUUUUUCCUUCAUUUUCUCUUUAGAUUCAACAAGUGCCGCAUAAUCAUCUUUACUUUCAUUUAAAUCUUUUCAUUUCUCUUCAGUUACCUUGGGCAUUACUUCUGGUCGUUUUUCAUUACCAUCAAGUACUUCAAAAGUUAUCUUGCUUU
rnacentral:lncRNA from 1 species